rnacentral:rRNA from 1 species
UACGGAGGAUCCGAGCGUUAUCCGGAUUUAUUGGGUUUAAAGGGUGCGCAGGCGGGAGAUUAAGUCGGCGGUGAAAUUUUGCAGCUCAACUGUAAAAGUGCCUUCGAAACUGGUUUCCUUGAGUGUAGAUGAAGUAGGCGGAAUUUGUGGUGUAGCGGUGAAAUGCAUAGAUAUCACGAGGAACUCCGAUUGCGAAGGCAGCUUACUAAUCCAUCAUUGACGCUGAGGCACGAAAGCGUGGGGAUCAAACAGGAUUAGAUACCCU